rnacentral:pre_miRNA from 1 species
GAUUUCAGCUGAAAAAGUCAUCAACAAUAAAGUUGUAUAACUCAUCAAGAUAUAUAACUUCUAUUUUGUUUAUUUCUUCAUCCGACAAAGUGAUCGUAACAUAUUCUUAAAAUUUUUAUAGUUUAUAAAACUAUAAGAGAGGUAUGUACAUUUUGUGAACAAUGUUACAAAUCACUUUGUCGGAUGAACAAAUGACCAAAAUAGAAGUUACAGGUCUUGAUGAGUUAUACAAUUUUGUUGUUGAUGACUUUUUCAGUUGAAAUC